rnacentral:piRNA from 1 species
UACAACUCAGGGAUUUGUAGAGUACAACUU